UUGGAGGGCAAGUCUGGUGCCAGCAGCCGCGGUAAUUCCAGCUCCAAUAGCGUAUAUUAAAGUUGUUGCAGUUAAAAAGCUCGUAGUUGAAUUUCGGGGUUUAUCCGUCGGUCGGGCUUUUGGGUCUGUACUGGCGUGAUGGAUUCCUACCUUCUGAAUAACCGGCAUGUCAUUAAUUUGGUGCGCCGGGGAAGCAGGACUGUUACCUUGAAAAAAUUAGAGUGCUUAAAGCAGGCUUAUGCCUGAAUACAUUAGCAUGGAAUAAUGAAAUAGGACGGCAUGGUUCUAUUUUGUUGGUUUCUAGGAUCACCGUAAUGAUUAAUAGGGAUAGUUGGGGGCAUUAGUAUUCAAUUGUCAGAGGUGAAAUUCUUGGAUUUAUUGAAGACUAACUUCUGCGAAAGCAUUUGCCAAGGAUGUUUUCAUUAAUCAAGAACGAAAGUUAGGGGAUCGAAGACGAUCAGAUACCGUCGUAGUCUUAACCAUAAACUAUGCCGACUAGGGAUCGGACGAUGUUAAUUUUUUAAUGACUCGUUCGGCGCCUUACGGGAAAC
rnacentral:rRNA from 1 species